GAAGCAAAUAUUCAACCUGUUUUCGGAGCUGAAUGAUAUCCACAUUUUCUAGACCUUUCAGUAUUUCUUAGUUUCAGCAACUUCCCAUGUUUCCUCUGCACAGUUCUCGCAAUCUAGAUGCUGUAAGGAAGUCUCAUAGUUCGAUCCUCAACCCAACUGGGUCGGAUCGAGCCCGGUUCGGAGGGCCCGAACAUGGCGCAAUCGACCCGUUUGUUGUUUGCGAUUGCGGUUGGUUCCUUGAAAUGAUGUUUUGGUGGUUGUAGUUGUGCGGAGAGAGUUGGAUCAGCCAUGAGAGAGUUGGGAAUUAGGGGGGGUUUUAUGGGAAGGUGUAGCAGCAGCAGAAACAUCGACAACAGCGUCUGAAGCAGUUGCAGUACAAGUAACGAAUUGGCGAUCGACGUGAGGACGAUGAGGUCUCCAUUCAGACUCUUUUGGAGAGAGAGAGAGAAGAUGACUGAAAGCUUUCCGACGGUCGUUCAAAAGAAAAGAAAAAGAGAGAG